CCCAGAGUAACUGAUCAAGUGUUCUUAGAAAUGUCUGGGCUGGGGCCCAGAUAUCCUAGGCCUCCUGACACAUCUAUCUGUCUUCUCUCACACUUCAACUCUAAAUUAGGUGCAUAGAGUCUCAAUAUGAUACAGAAGACUUAGGGAUCUUUGGGAAAGGUCCUCUGGAAGUUAAGCAGCAGCUACCUCUGCUAGCCUGGAGUGCAGCCCUGGGCUUUUUUUCUCCUUUCUGUUGAAGACUGUAUGCACUUAGAUGACUACAGGCAGCAUGCUCUUCUUUCUACUGUCUUUUCAUGAAGGAAGAAAAGGUGGAGAGGAACCAUACAUGUCUGUUGUCUUGUCCCACUCGGUGUGUUCUGAGAGAGGAUUAUCUUCUUCCUGAGGAAGCCAACAGAAGAAAACAUGACGUGAUUCGUUUCAACUCACAGCCAUUUCUGAAAGUCGUGGAGAUGGCAAAGGGCAGUCAUGUCUUUAAAGUCACAGAAGUGGGAGCUGGACUUCAGACUUUAGGAGAGCGUGGUCUAGUUAACUCCAAAGGGGUGAAAGAAAGUGGAAGAACAGGACAGAGAUGAAGAAGCAAUAGGAUGGUAAUGGAAAAAACUAGAGAAUAAGCUGUGAGUCUUAAUCUACAACGGGAACAGAUUUUGUUCCAGCUGUUAAGGAG
ensembl:lncRNA